CCAAAUUAUGUGAAGCAUUCUGAAAAUUAUUCAAACAGAUGGCUGAAGAGCAAGCCAGUUCCACAUAUACUUCAACCACUGCAGCAAUUUCUGUUGAAAAGUCAGCCUACAGCUUGGAUGGAACAUCAACAAGGGGAGGGGAAUAUAUAUCAAAAUUGGCCAGGCCACAGAGAGGAGCA